rnacentral:rRNA from 1 species
GACGAACGCUGGCGGCGUGCCUAAUACAUGCAAGUAGAACGCUGAAGGAGGAGCUUGCUCUUCUGGAUGAGUUGCGAAAGGGUGAGUAACGCGUAGGUAACCUGCCUGGUAGCGGGGGAUAACUAUUGGAAACGAUAGCUAAUACCGCAUAAGAGUAGAUGUUGCAUGACAUUUACUUAAAAGGUGCAAUUGCAUCACUACCAGAUGGACCUGCGUGGUAUUAGCUAGUUGGUGGGGUAACGGCUUACCAAGGCGACGAUACAUAGCCGACCUGAGAGGGUGAUCGGCCGCACUGGGACUGAGACACGGCCCAGACUCCUACGGGAGGCAGCAGUAGGGAAUCUUCGGCAAUGGACGGAAGUCUGACCGAGCGACGCCGCGUGAGUGAAGAAGGUUUUCGGAUCGUAAAGCUCUGUUGUAAGAGAAGAACGAGUGUGAGAGUGGAAAGUUCACACUGUGACGGUAUCUUACCAGAAAGGGACGGCUAACUACGUG